UACGGGGGGAGCAAGCGUUGUUCGGAUUUACUGGGCGUAAAGGGCGCGUAGGCGGCCACCGCAAGUCGACUGUGAAAUCUCCGGGCUUAACCCGGAAAGGUCAGCCGAUACUGCGGGGCUAGAGUGCAGAAGGGGCAACUGGAAUUCUCGGUGUAGCGGUGAAAUGCGUAGAUAUCGAGAGGAACACCUGCGGCGAAGGCGGGUUGCUGGGCUGACACUGACGCUGAGGAGCGGAAGCGUGGGGAGCGAACAGG
rnacentral:rRNA from 1 species